rnacentral:rRNA from 1 species
UACGAAGGGGGCUAGCGUUGCUCGGAAUCACUGGGCGUAAAGGGUGCGUAGGCGGGUCUUUAAGUCAGGGGUGAAAUCCUGGAGCUCAACUCCAGAACUGCCUUUGAUACUGAGGAUCUUGAGUACGGGAGAGGUGUGUGGAACUCCGAGUGUAGAGGUGAAAUUCGUAGAUAUUCGGAAGAACACCAGUGGCGAAGGCGGCUCACUGGCUCGGUACUGACGCUGAGGUGCGAAAGCGUAGGGAGCAAACAGG